rnacentral:rRNA from 1 species
UGGAGCUGCGGUUUAAUUGGAUUCAACGCCGGAAAUCUCACCGGGGCGACAGCAAUAUGAAGGUCAGGCUGAAGACCUUACCGGAUUAGCUGAGAGGUGGUGCAUGGCCGUCGUCAGUUCGUACUGUGAAGCAUCCUGUUAAGUCAGGCAACGAGCGAGACCCACGCCAACAGUUGCCAGCUCGUCCUCCGGGAUGGUGGGGACACUGUUGGGACCGCCUCUGCUAAAGAGGAGGAAGGAAUGGGCAACGGUAGGUCAGCAUGCCCCGAAUUAUCUGGGCUACACGCGGGCUACAAUGGGUGGGACAAUGGGUAUCGACACCGAAAGGUGAAGGCAAUCUCCUAAACCCAUCCGUAGUUCGGAUUGUGGGCUGCAACUCGCCCACAUGAAGCUGGAAUCUGUAGUAAUCGUGUCUCAAAAUGGCACGGUGAAUAUGUCCCUGCUCCUU